rnacentral:lncRNA from 10 species
CUGACAAUAAAGUUUUUUUUUUGUUUAUUUAUUUAUUUAUUUAUUUAUUUAUUUAUUUUUUUUAUUGAUCAUUCUUGGGUGUUUCUCACAGAGGGGGAUUUGGCAGGGUCAUAGGACAAUAGUGGAGGGAAGGUCAGCAGAUAAACAAGUGAACAAAGGUCUCUGGUUUUCCUAGGCAGAGGACCCUGCGGCCUUCCGCAGCGUUUGUGUCCCUGGGUACUUGAGAUUAGGGAGUGGUGAUGACUCUUAAUGAGCAUGCUGCCUUCAAGCGUCUGUUUAACAAAGCACAUCUUGCACCGCCCUUAAUCCAUUUAACCCUGAGUGGACACAGCACAUGUUUCAGAGAGCACAGGGUUGGGGGUAAGGUCACAGAUCAACAGGAUCCCAAGGCAGAAGAAUUUUUCUUAGUACAGAACAAAAUGAAAAGUCUCCCAUGUCUACCUCUUUCUACACAGACACGGCAACCAUCCGAUUUCUCAAUCUUUUCCCCACCUUUCCCCCCUUUCUAUUCCACAAAACUGCCAUUGUCAUCAUGGCCCGUUCUCAAUGAGCUGUUGGGUACACCUCCCAGACGGGGUGGUGGCCGGGCAGAGGGGCUCCUCACUUCCCAGUAGGGGCGGCCGGGCAGAGGCGACCCUCACCUCCCGGAUGGGGUGGCUGGCCGGGCAGGGGGCUGACCCCCCCACCUCCCUCCUGGACGGGGCGGCUGGCCGGGCAGAGGGGCUCUUCACUUCCCAGUAGGGGCGGCCGGGCAGAGGCGCCCCUCACCUCUCAGACGGGGUGGCUGGCCGGGCGGGGGGCUGACCCCCCCAUCUCCCUCCCGGACGGGGUGGCUGCCGGGCGGAGACGCUCCUCACUUCCCAGACGGGGUGGCUGCCGGGCGGAGGGGCUCCUCACUUCUCAGACAGGGCGGUUGCCAGGCAGAGGGUCUCCUCACUUCUCAGACAGGGCGGCUGGGCAGAGACGCUCCUCACAUCCCGGACGGGGCGACAGGGCAGAGGCGCUCCCCACAUCUCAGACGAUGGGCGGCCGGGCAGAGACGCUCCUCACUUCCUAGAUGGGAUGGCGGCCGGGAAGAGGCGCUCCUCACUUCCUAGAUGGGAUGGCGGCUGGGCAGAGAUGCUCCUCACUUUCCUGACUGGGCAGCCAGGCAGAGGGGCUCCUCACAUCCCAGACGAUGGGUGGCCAGGCAGAGACGCUCCUCACUUCCCAGACAGGGUGGCAGCCGGGCAGAGGCUGCAAUCUCGGCACUUUGGGAGGCCAAGGCAGGCUGCUGGGAGGUGGAUGUUGUAGCGAGCCGAGAUCAUGCCACUGCACUCCAGCCUGGGCACCAUUGAGCACUGAGUGAAGGAGACUCCGUCUGCAAUCCCGGCACCUCGGGAGGCCGAGGCUGGCGGAUCACUCGCGGUUAGGAGCUGGAGACCAGCCCGGCCAACACAGCGAAAUCCCGUCUCCACCCAAAAAAUACGAAAACCAGUCAGUCGUGGCGGCGCGUGCCUGCAAUCGCAGGCA